rnacentral:misc_RNA from 1 species
AUAGUGGAAAUGUUACUUGCAGCUCGUGGAAAAGUGAGCGCUAUUGCUUCAGGUGAUAUUCGUAGUUGCAAUUUUUCAUGGAUAUCAAGCCAUCUAUUAGAGCAAGCUUGGCAAGAGAUGGCUCAAACUCUCACGGAAGCCAAUUUUGGGAAUGCGAGGGAGAUUCUUGAAGCAGAGCCUCCAAGAUGGUUGGCUGAUAGUACUGCCUCUGCUUGCAUGCUGUGUGGUGUGCG